rnacentral:rRNA from 1 species
UCCGUAGGUGAACCUGCGGAGGGAUCAUUACCGAGUUUACAACUCCCAAACCCAAUGUGAACCAUACCAAACUGUUGCCUCGGCGGGGUCACGCCCCGGGUGCGUCGCAGCCCCGGAACCAGGCGCCCGCCGGAGGGACCAACCAAACUCUUUUCUGUAGUCCCCUCGCGGACGUUAUUUCUUACAGCUCUGAGCAAAAAUUCAAAAUGAAUCAAAACUUUCAACAACGGAUCUCUUGGUUCUGGCAUCGAUGAAGAACGCAGCGAAAUGCGAUAAGUAAUGUGAAUUGCAGAAUUCAGUGAAUCAUCGAAUCUUUGAACGCACAUUGCGCCCGCCAGUAUUCUGGCGGGCAUGCCUGUCCGAGCGUCAUUUCAACCCUCGAACCCCUCCGGGGGGUCGGCGUUGGGGACCUCGGGAGCCCCUAAGACGGGAUCCCGGCCCCGAAAUACAGUGGCGGUCUCGCCGCAGCCUCUCCUGCGCAGUAGUUUGCACAACUCGCACCGGGAGCGCGGCGCGUCCACGUCCGUAAAACACCCAACUUUCUGAAAUGUUGACCUCGGAUCAGGUAGGAAUACCCGCUGAACUUAAGCAUAUCAAUAAGCGGAGG